CCCACCACAUUAUGUAUGUAUGUGCCUGUUCCAAGUCAGGAGCCUGUAAUUCAGUGGUUGUCGUUUGUUAAUGUGUUACAUAUUUGUAUUUCGUAUUUUUUUGUACUUAAAUGAGGCCGUUAGUUUUCUCUUUUGAAUUGUUUUACAUUGUCAUUUCAGGGCCUCUUAUAGCUGACUAUGCAGUAUUGGCUUUGCUCAUUGUUGAAGGCCGUACAGUGACCUAUAGUUGUUAAUUUCUGUGUCACUUUGGUCUCUUAUGGAGAGCUGUGUCAUUGGCAAUCAUACCACAUCUUUUUUUUUUAACUUUUAUACAAACUAUUGUUUAAUUUUCAAUUAAAGAUUUCUUGCUAUUGCAAAAUACUUUGCGAUCAGAUAUUUUUUUGCUUAUUGCGCAAUACUGUGGAAUUGAACAGUUCUUGCUAAUGCAACAACUUGUGUAAUUGAAGAUUUUCUGUUAUUUGGCAAUUUUACUAUGACGCAAUUAUGUGCAAUUGAAG
rnacentral:lncRNA from 1 species